rnacentral:rRNA from 1 species
GGCGUGCCUAAUACAUGCAAGUCGAACGAGUUCUCGUUGAUGAUCGGUGCUUGCACCGAGAUUCAACAUGGAACGAGUGGCGGACGGGUGAGUAACACGUGGGUAACCUGCCCUUAAGUGGGGGAUAACAUUUGGAAACAGAUGCUAAUACCGCAUAGAUCCAAGAACCGCAUGGUUCUUGGCUGAAAGAUGGCGUAAGCUAUCGCUUUUGGAUGGACCCGCGGCGUAUUAGCUAGUUGGUGAGGUAAUGGCUCACCAAGGCGAUGAUACGUAGCCGAACUGAGAGGUUGAUCGGCCACAUUGGGACUGAGACACGGCCCAAACUCCUACGGGAGGCAGCAGUAGGGAAUCUUCCACAAUGGACGCAAGUCUGAUGGAGCAACGCCGCGUGAGUGAAGAAGGCUUUCGGGUCGUAAAACUCUGUUGUUGGAGAAGAAUGGUCGGCAGAGUAACUGUUGUCGGCGUGACGGUAUCCAACCAGAAAGCCACGGCUAACUACGUGCCAGCAGCCGCGGUAAUACGUAGGUGGCAAGCGUUAUCCGGAUUUAUUGGGCGUAAAGCGAGCGCAGGCGGUUUUUUAAGUCUGAUGUGAAAGCCCUCGGCUUAACCGAGGAAGCGCAUCGGAAACUGGGAAACUUGAGUGCAGAAGAGGACAGUGGAACUCCAUGUGUAGCGGUGAAAUGCGUAGAUAUAUGGAAGAACACCAGUGGCGAAGGCGGCUGUCUGGUCUGUAACUGACGCUGAGGCUCGAAAGCAUGGGUAGCGAACAGGAUUAGAUACCCUGGUAGUCCAUGCCGUAAACGAUGAAUGCUAGGUGUUGGAGGGUUUCCGCCCUUCAGUGCCGCAGCUAACGCAUUAAGCAUUCCGCCUGGGGAGUACGACCGCAAGGUUGAAACUCAAAGGAAUUGACGGGGGCCCGCACAAGCGGUGGAGCAUGUGGUUUAAUUCGAAGCAACGCGAAGAACCUUACCAGGUCUUGACAUCUUUUGAUCACCUGAGAGAUCAGGUUUCCCCUUCGGGGGCAAAAUGACAGGUGGUGCAUGGUUGUCGUCAGCUCGUGUCGUGAGAUGUUGGGUUAAGUCCCGCAACGAGCGCAACCCUUAUGACUAGUUGCCAGCAUUUAGUUGGGCACUCUAGUAAGACUGCCGGUGACAAACCGGAGGAAGGUGGGGAUGACGUCAAAUCAUCAUGCCCCUUAUGACCUGGGCUACACACGUGCUACAAUGGAUGGUACAACGAGUUGCGAGACCGCGAGGUCAAGCUAAUCUCUUAAAGCCAUUCUCAGUUCGGACUGUAGGCUGCAACUCGCCUACACGAAGUCGGAAUCGCUAGUAAUCGCGGAUCAGCACGCCGCGGUGAAUACGUUCCCGGGCCUUGUACACACCGCCCGUCACACCAUGAGAGUUUGUAACACCCGAAGCCGGUGGCGUAACCCUUUUAGGGAGCGAGCCGUCUAAGGUGGGACAAAUGAUUAGGGUGAAGUCGUAACAAGGUGGU